rnacentral:misc_RNA from 1 species
UUUGUUUGGAGGUUGGUUGGCCAUGGCUAUAACUUAUGGCUUGACUAAAUUGAUUGGUUCUAGUGGUCUUUAACUGGAAUUACCUACCAAAUUAUCCAUAGUUUUUUGAUAAUCUAUUGCUAAAUAACUUUAGCCAGUGGAUUUUAUCAUUAAGCUACUGAGUUUGUCUGUCGCUAAAUCGUGUUUUAUCUAGUUAUAUAUGCUACUAAAUAUUAAUUGUGGCAUAAU